UGGCUCAGAUUGAACGCUGGCGGCAUGCCUUACACAUGCAAGUCGAACGGCAGCACGGGUGCUUGCACCUGGUGGCGAGUGGCGAACGGGUGAGUAAUGCAUCGGAACGUACCCGGAAGUGGGGGAUAACGUAGCGAAAGUUACGCUAAUACCGCAUAUUCUGUGAGCAGGAAAGGAGGGGACCUUCGGGCCUUUCGCGAUUGGAUGAACCCAGGUGGGAUUAGCUAGUUGGUGGGGUAAUGGCUCACCAAGGCGACGAUCCCUAGCUGGUCUGAGAGGAUGAUCAGCCACACUGGAACUGAGACACGGUCCAGACUCCUACGGGAGGCAGCAGUGGGGAAUUUUGGACAAUGGACGCAAGUCUGAUCCAGCCAUUCCGCGUGCAGGACGAAGGCCUUCGGGUUGUAAACUGCUUUUGUACGGAACGAAACGGCUCUGGUUAAUACCCGGGGCUAAUGACGGUACCGUAAGAAUAAGCACCGGCUAACUACGUG
rnacentral:rRNA from 1 species